AUAAUCAAUUGUUUCUUAAUUGGAAACUAGUAUGAAAGAAUGGAUGAAAUAUAAUUUGUCUCAAAAUAAAAUUAUUGAAUUUAAAUUAAGAGUAAAAAUGCUUUUAUUUAAUUAUAAGACGAUAAGACCCUAUAGAAUUUAAUAAAUUGUAUUUAUUAAAGAUAUUAUAUUAGAAAAUAUUUAAUAAAUAUUUAUAUUUUAUUGGGAGGAUAUUUAAAUUAAUUUAACUUUAAGGAUUUAUUAACAUAAAUUAAUGAAUAUUUGAUUAUUAUUAUAAUUAUUAGAAUAAAUUACCUUA
rnacentral:rRNA from 1 species